rnacentral:rRNA from 1 species
CCUACGGGGGGCUGCAGUGAGGAAUAUUGGUCAAUGGGCUUACGCCUGAACCAGCCAAGUCGCGUGAGGGAAGACUGCCCUAUGGGUUGUAAACCUCUUUUGUCAGGGAGCAACGCCGGCUACGUGUAGCCGGACUGAGAGUACCUGAAGAAAAAGCAUCGGCAAACUCCGUGCCAGCAGCCGCGGUAAUACGGAGGAUGCGAGCGUUAUCCGGAUUUAUUGGGUUUAAAGGGUGCGUAGGCGGAAUGCCAAGUCAGCGGUAAAAUCGCGGGGCUCAACCUCGCUCCGCCGUUGAAACUGGCGUUCUUGAGUGGGCGAGAAGUAUGCGGAAUUCGUGGUGUAGCGGUGAAAUGCAUAGAUAUCACGCAGAACUCCGAUUGCGAAGGCAGCAAUCCGGCGCCCAACUGACGCUGAAGCACGAAAGCGUGGGUAGCGAACAGGAUUAGAUACCCCUGUAGUC